rnacentral:lncRNA from 1 species
GAGCUAAUGAGUUUACCAAGGGAGGCAGUAUAGACAGUAGGGGACCAAGGAAUGAACCUUGGCGGACACCAACAGAGAGGAGUUGGGGAGAAGAAGCAGAGCCAGAGAAAGAAACACUGAAAGAGCGCUGGGAGAGGUAGGAGGAGCACCAGGAGAUAGCAAUAUCUUGUAGACCGAUAUUGCGGAGGAUGAGAAGAAGCUGUUGAUGAUCAACAGUGUCAAAAGCCGCAGACAGGUCAAGGAGAAUUAGG